CGAAAACGGAAUUUGCAUUGAGUGUUUUAACUGGAAUAUUUUGUGCUGCAGCAUUAGUUCUUUGUGUUUUAGUAGGAUUUUUAUUAUCCACUUUCACAUCUAUUAUGCAAACAUCGUUUUAAGACAUUCGAAGAUUCGCUCAAUGCGAACUGAAAUUGGAACAGAAAUUAAAAAUUGUGAAUUUUAUGAAAAGAUUUGGAAAAGCAUUUUUAUGUAUAUCUAUCAACGGUUUCUUCGAUGUUACCAAAAAGUUUCCUAUCAAGAUGUCUAGCGCUUUGAAUUCUGUGUAUUCGAGUCUGUUAAAUUUGAGGACCGUUUCCACGAAGAAAAUCUGCUCUUAUUGAAAUCUGAAUCCAAGAAUCUAUCUUUUUGAAUAUAAUUCUUUCUCAUAGCAUUUUAAUUAAUAACUUAAUUAAUUCAUGUAUAUGUGAUAAACUAGACAAACUAUUGUCGUUUUUUGUCACAUUAUUGUGAUAUUCUGAUAGCUUAUAAGCCUUGCAUAUUUAAAAUUAGAAUAACAGUUGAAAGUUGAAAUUUAUUACACUGUUAAGUACUUCAUGCACGCAAAAAGGGAGUUUUAAUGAAUCCAGUGGAAUAACUAAAAAAAAAAAUAUGCAUUCUAUAAAAAAGUCAUUAAAUAAUAAAUGCUAGACUUCAAGGAGGCUACAAAAUAGGGCUAUCAGUUUCAUCACCGAUGGCACUAGAAUCCGUGUAAAUGGGUUUAUUUUCUUAAAUGGGAGCCGCCAAUUUUUAUUGCAUAUUCUGAGGCUGCGUACA